GCACGCGCAGCAGCGCCUCCGACGACACCCGGAAGUGCCAGUGCCUGUUGCCUGCCGCCACCGGUGGUCGAGAAAAGCUGCUUGUGUUUCUUCGACCCCAGGUCAGCGACUUUGAGGUGAAUUCAAGAGAGGUUGUUGGAUGGAAGGAAUUAAGGAAGGAACUUAGAAGGACCCCUGUUCAGGGUUAAAAUUAAAAACCAGCUGCCGAAACCCGGGAUCGAACCAGGGACCUUUAGAUCUUCAGUCUAACGCUCUCCCAACUGAGCUAUUUCGGCGCUGCGCCUCUCCCCUUCUACAAUGUGCUAUCUCUGAGUACUUCAGGUCCAGUCGUCCUGCGGUGUUUUAUUAAUAAUUAAUCUGUUCUGUAUUUUUGUUUGUUCUGUUUGAAUCAUGUUUCUUCGGUCUCACUUCUCGUAACCAGAAAUUCACGGUCCUGGUCCCUUCCCGAGACCAGCUCGGGGUUUCCUAGGCGAACAUGUCACACUUUUGGACUGUACGGGAAUGUCCCAGAUCUGGCUGGCUGGCAGUGUUUGCCCAGAGCUGUUGGUUGACUGAGUGGUUGGGUCCCUGGAGGCCAGAGUCCUCUGGCCAGUCCCAGACGCGGCAUUCGUAGUCUCUCAGACCCGCGUCCUGCAAAGGGCGCAGCUCGGUUACAAGCUCUGAGGGGAACCUGUUUGGCAAACACUUGGGCAGUUCAUGAAAGAAGACUUAAUGUCAGCGCUCCUUCACGUCACGCGGGUUCCUGGAGCACCCACUACCUGCCCCCUGGAUCUUACUGAAGUUCUGUUUUCUUCUCCUCUCCGAUUAAAUAGUACUAAUCUCAAUAGCACUUUCUCUCGACGCCCUUUCAGCCCAGGUACGAGACUUUUCUUUACCUAGAAGCGUCGCUAUCAAUUUGGGUUGAUGGGAGGAUGUGAAAGGAAAAGAGAAAAAGAAAGAGUGCUUGCGACCUUCACUGGGUCCCCUUCAUUCAGUCUGCAUUCUACAAACGGGUCUCUGGGCGCCCGGUUUGAACCAAUAACAGAGUCAACCAAAUCCACAUAACAAAAGAGCUCGAAAAUUAAGAGGUCGGUGGAUAAGGAGAGUGUCCUCUUCUGUCACUGCCUGCCUGGACUCAAGUGUGCCGUGAGUCAAUCUCAGGCUCUUGGGGUCUUUCCAUCUCUUCCUGGAGACUGGGAGGUGUGGUGGUCUGACUGAGAAAUGUCCCCUACAGUCUUGAACAUUUGAACAGCAGUUUAGGGGGGGUUAGAAAGUGCAGACUUUUGGAGGAAGUAUGUCAUCGGUCCUUAGAAGGUCACAAGUGCACUUUAGGUCCCCCCAGCCUCCCGGGAUAAAAAUUCACAUUCCCGAUUCUGAGUCUCGUUUCAUGGACUGAACUCUGCUAUCUUCAACUUGAGGUUCUAUGAACAAAGUAAGCUGAUCCCAAGGACACAUUGUCUCUGGGUUUGAGAGAAAACUUCUGCUUCAUCUGCAAGACUGCAGAGGAGAGGAGCCAUCACAGCAACCAUGGAGGGCAGGCUCAGAAUAAGGAUAAGGAUGUGGGAGGAGAUCCUAACCCAAACAGAAACUUUUUGUAGGCCACACUCCAGUUUUCCCAGUUAACCCAAGGAUGCUUGCUAACCCCGAUGCAACCGCUUAUGAUAUCUAUGAAAACUGAACUAGCCAGCAGAAGGAAGACAUCAAAAUUAAAAAAAAAAAAAGAAAGCUUGUUGUAUAUAUGUCUGAAAUUCUUUUUGAACUGUUGUCAAUUGAUUAUCUGUUCUUAACGUUGUUCCUGGAACCCCUACAGCACAGACAAAACCCUGACGACCACUUUACUUUCCUCUCAUUUUAGUAUUCGUCCUAGGGAAGUUUAAGAAAAAUUGACGGGAAUAUAUAAAAAGGAUAUAGGAGCAGUUUGAAAGGGCUGCUCUUGGCCCAAACUGGGACAGCAUAAACAUCACGGAUGCGUAAAACACAAAGUCAUGACUACAGUACCUAAAAGCCUUGUGGCGGGCAGUGAAGACUGGCACGGAACUGAAGGAAUUGUGCCGUGGGUUAAAUGCAGAAGAAGUGGUGGCCCUGAAAAUUGCCGUUUUCUAAGCAUCGUAGUGAAGAGUCGUUCUGUGAGGAAUUAUCAGUGGCUGCUAAUGUAGCUCAGUUAAGAGUGCUUGCCUGCCACGCACAAAACCCUGUUUCUGAGCCUCAGGCUUUCUAAGGCCAUGUGUGGUGCAACGAGCUUAUAACCCCAAUACUCAGGCGUCAGAGGCAGGAGGUCAGGAGUUCAAGAUUAUCCCAAGUGAAAUUUCAAGUUCAAGACCAGCCUGGGACAGGAGAAACUCUGCUUCAGAAAAAGAAAGGAGGAAGAAAAGGAUGGUGACAGGAAGCGGGGAAGUCCCCUGAGAUGGCAAGUCUAGGUCAGAAAACUUGGACUCCAGAAGUUGAAUGUUGUAGGCUUGGGCACUCUUAAGUCCUUCUUAUCUUAAUUGCUUGUGGCUUGCAAUUAAUGGCGCCGUGGACCAGCCCUCCAGCUGUUUUCAUUUCCCCAUCUGCAUGCCUCUGCCUCCUACCAGGACACAAGCUAGGGUCAUCUGGCGUGAGGGAGCUUCCGUUGAGGAAUGGCCUCCAUCAGACAGGCCUGUUGGUGUGAUGUUUACAUAUGCUUGGCCCAGGGAGUGGCACUAUUAGAAGGUGUGGCCUCAUUAGAGGAAGUGUGUCACUGUGGGGGUAGCUGCCUAAGGAUGCUCAGUGUGUUCCGGGCUUCCUUUUGGUGAAGAUGUAGAACUGAGCUCCUCCUGCACCAUGACUGCCUGGAUGCUGCCAUGCUCCCACCUUGAUGAUAAUGGAUUGAACCUCUGAACCUGUAAGCCAGCCCCAAUCAAAUCCUGUCCUUUAUAAAACUUGCAUUGAUCAUGGUGUCUGUACACAGAAAUAAAACCUUAACUAAGACAAUAAGGUAUCCUCAAGUAAGCUGGGGAAGCCCUAAAGUAUAGGAAGGGAUAGAUAUAGGUUACAUGUAAAAACUUUGUAACUUUAUAACAUGGAUUCAGGCAUUCUCAAUAUGUAACAUGGUAGCUUUUAGGAGACCAGUGCUGAAAUAUUUAUAAUAAUAAAUAAUUGUCAAAUUAUUUAUCUUUUCUUUUGACACAGGGUCUGAUUUUGCAGCUCAGGCUGACUGACAGGAGAUAUAUAUAUCUCUUACCUCAGACUUACAGAUCUGCCUCUGCCUCUCUGCCUCUGCCUCUGCCUCUGCCUCUGCCUCUGCCUCUGCCUCUCUGCCUCUGCCUCUGCCUCUGCCUCUGCCUCUGCCUCUGCCUCUGCCUCUGCCUCUGCCUCUGCCUCUGCCUCUGCCUCUGCCUCUGCCUCUGCCUCUGCCUCUGCCUCUGCCUCUGCCUCUGCCUCUGCUGGAAUUAAAGGCAUGCAUUAAAGGCUUCAGUAAAUAUCUCAAACACGUAAUACACAGAGAUAGAGCAAAAUGUUAACAUUGUUGAACACAGAUGGAGAAAUGUGUCUUAAAUGUUGUUUGCUUUUAAUUUUGCAUAAUAAAAACUUGAGAGAGAAUAAA